GAAUUCAAGGUAUCAUUUUUUUGUUCUUCGGGGCUUCUCUUGAUCUAUAUAUUUUGAGUUUUCUCCUAUUUCUAUCUGGAGAAUUCUUUCAUAAAUUAUGUCCUUUGACAGUCUCUAGACUCUAUUGUAACUAAAAUAAGUCUCGUAAGUUUGUCUUUCUCUUGCAUUAUUUUUAAAAGUUCAUCCAUAUUUGGUUCGAUGUUGGUUUAUUUAUUCUUCUGCAUAAUUUAUUGCUAAAUUUUCUACGGAAUUCUAUAUGAUUUUGAAUGUAAGUUCGGCAAGAAAUACUUUGGUGCGUCUUCUUUUUUUUUCUUCUUCAGAUUUUGCUUGUGCAAAAUGGUGUUUUAGUAUGAAUUUUUUGUUCUUUUGGAUGGGUAGAACCAAGUUUGCAUUUCAUGGCAUUCUUUGCUUAAAAAUAUCGUAAAUGUGUUUGAUUAAUUCAUGAGAGACAUGUACUUCUAUGGUAAACUUUUUAGUUGUCAUUCAUAUCCCAUCUCUAUGUGCUUGUUUCUUAAGUAAGAAUGCACCUCUGCAUACAUGUUCUCUUCUCUAUGUUUGAGAUCAUUUUUAUUUUAUUAACAAGCCCAGGUCUCAUUAGCUUCCAUCCCAUUUUCUUUGAGUGAUUCAAAGUGUCCCUUCCUCUUCUGUUUAUUGUAGGAUUUUUUACUUGCAUGUUCCUAAUUUGGAUGGAUUUACUCAUGGAUGUUUGGAAAUUGACACAUGGCACCGAGAUUCAACAUCGACCGAAUAACAACUGACACACUUGAUUGAACUUGAAAAGUUCAAAUUGUGGACAUGAGUCGCGAGCAAGAAAGCCCUGAGAAUAAAAUCAUCUUCCAAAAUCUGAUUUUGGAAGAUGAAGAGACAAGCUUAAACCCUCAGAGACAUAUCUGAUCUCCACACCGCAAAGUUCGAGUUUCGCCCAAUGCGUAUGCACCACUACAUAAACUUUAUUGGGUACUCGACAAAGAAACUAUAUAUAGUUGAACAAGUCAAGCUGACUGAUGAGCGUGAGAAACCACUUCCACCAUCGACUAAGCUGAGCAUCAUAACUUUUGACCGCAUCGCUCAUAUGACUCCUAAUUUUUCUACAGAUAUUGGUAUACCGCUCCUACCGACUGCUAGCAUACUGAAGUAUAUAUGUUUAUACAUGUACACACUCAUUAUAUUUCCUUAUUUCUU